UACGUAGGGAGCAAGCGUUGUCCGGAAUCAUUGGGCGUAAAGCGCGCGUAGGCGGCCUCAUAAGUCCGUUGUGAAAGUCAAAGGCUCAACCUUUGAAAGCCGAUGGAUACUGUGAGGCUAGAGUUCGGAAGAGGCGAGUGGAAUUCCUGGUGUAGCGGUGGAAUGCGCAGAUAUCAGGAGGAACACCAAUAGCGAAGGCAGCUCGUUGGGACGAUACUGACGCUAAGGCGCGAAAGCGUGGGGAGCGAACAGG
rnacentral:rRNA from 1 species